AGGGCUUGACAUGCGGGGUGACGCCGUGGAAACACGGUGCCCCUUCGGGGGCCCGCACAGGUGCUGCAUGGCUGUCGUCAGCUCGUGCCGUGAGGUGUUGCCUUAAGUGGCGCAACGAGCGCAACCCCUGUCCCAUGUUGCCAGCGGGUAAUGCCGGGGACUCAUGGGAGACCGCCGGUGCCAAAUCGGAGGAAGGUGGGGAUGACGUUCGUCUGAC
rnacentral:misc_RNA from 1 species